CUCUUUUUUCAUUAUGAAAUCUUGUUGAGAGCUUCCAGUCUACGAGAGCUAACUAGUUAGCCACUAGCAAAACACUAAGGCGAGCGAGCAGCUUGACAAGCAAAUACCAGACGAUUAAUAGUAGCUGUAGUAUAGUUGUACAAGCAGUAGUAGUAAUACUAAAAGUACAAGCAGUAGUAGUAGUUUAAACAGCUGUUAGAGUCGUAGAAGUAGUAUCAGCAUUUGUAAUAUUAUUACAAGUUGUAGUAGCAGUGCCAGUAUCAGCAGCAGUAGUGUACCACCACCACUACUACUAGUAGUAGUCACAUUGCUAUGACUACCACCAAUACUACCAAUAGUAGUUAUAAAGCCUAACUCAUAUAUAUCCAGAUUACCAUCUAUGUUCUUCCUCCAAACCCAUUUUAUGAUUGGGAUUACAGGCAGUUCUUUAGGACUGCUCUCAAAUAAUUGAAAUGUUACUAAACAAGGUUAUACUUAUCAAAUUAAAUAGCUCUGGUCUCCAGUAUAUUGGCGAAUUCAGUUAUUUGUACUUAAUUUAUUAGCAUUUCUUUUUUAAUAUGUUGUGUACAGACUGACUUACUUCUCUGUCUACUUUUCUUACUCCAUGUAGGUUUCCCAGAGACUAUGGGUUGAGGAGGAAUUGGAAGUUUGUCGGCUUAGACCUGGUGUCAUUCCAUCAGUGUUAAACUUCCCAGCUCAUCUUGGAAGAGUACGUGCCAGAAAGACCACGACCAAGCAGCCUUGAGAUCUUAGGCAGCGUCUCCCUGAGGUCCCUCUCUAUCUCCCCACACAUCCACCAACCACUGGAACACAUCUCCAAAGUUCUGCCGGACCAGCUCAGCUUCCCCUCAGAAGAAGUGCUGCCACCUGCCAGAUGAAGGAGCCUUUUGAGAGGCAGCUGGCAUCGUGAUUGGACUGUACUUUGGUCUGUUCCAAUCCAGCUUCAGCUCCAGAGACGGCAGGCGGGACGAGUCAACGGAGGCCGGGUGGACGAAGGCAUGCAGCUGAGUACAAUCCAGAAAACAACAGAGGAGGAGUGCAGCGGCCCAGGGCCAGAACAAACAGAGUAGCAUCGUAUGUCUCUUAGAAAACAUCAUAGUAUAGCCUUUGGUAUGAAAAAACGCCAUCAUAUACAUCGUAUAUUGUACAAAUAACAAGUCAAAGGAAAGAGACAUACAUUGUAGAAUUGUAGUAAUUGUGGGCUGACUGAUUUACUGAUUAUCAGUAUCUUAUUUUUUACUGAUUUACGGUAAUAAAUACAUUUAAAAAUGGUG